rfam:Ailuropoda melanoleuca scaffold117_10, whole genome shotgun sequence.
UUCAGAAGGUGGAUGUUCCUUCUAUGUUUACGGGAUUUAUAGUUAAUCAUAGAGGAAAAUCCACAUGUUUGG